AUCUACAGCCAUGUUACCCUGAACAAGACCGAUCCUAUCUGAUCUUGGAAGCUAAGCAGGAUUGGUCCUGGUUAGUACUUGGAUGGGAGACCAUCUAGGAAGACCAGGUACUGAAGGCA
rnacentral:rRNA from 1 species